rnacentral:rRNA from 1 species
ACUUAUGGCCACACCACCCUGAAAGCGCUCAAUCGCGGAAGCUAUCUGGGGCUGGGCUUGGUUAGUACCUGGAUGGGAGACUGCCUGGGAAUACCAGGUGUCAUAGGCU